rnacentral:tRNA from 1 species
UCCCUCAUAGCCCAGUUGGUAAAGAAUCUGCCUGCAAUGCAGGAGACCCAGGUUCGAUCCCUGGGUUGGGAA